rnacentral:rRNA from 1 species
ACUAAUAGGAUUCCCUCAGUAAUGGCGAAUGAACAGGGAUCAGCUCAGCAUGGAAAUUGGGGCCCUCGGCCUUGAAUUGUAGUCUCGAGAUGCAUCGCCAAUGGAGGCGCAGAUGUAAGCCUCUUGGAAAAGAGCAUCAACGAGGGUGAGAGUCCCGUUUGUCAUCUGCAGUCCCCCAUGCACGGCGUGCCUUCUAAGAGUCGCGUUCCUCGGAAUUGGAGCGUUAAUUGGGUGGUAAAUUUCAUCUCAAGCUAAAUAUUGGUUCGAGACCGAUAGCAAACAAGUACCAUGAGGGAAAGGUGAAAAGGACUUUGAAAAGAGAGUUAAAAGUGCCUGAAAUUGCUGAAAGGGAAGCGAAUGGAACCAGUGUUGCUUGGCGAGAUUGUCAUACGCAUUCGCGUGUGGUGGUUCUUGCCUUGUGUGUCAACGCCAGUUCGCGAUCGAGGAAAACUCCAUGGACAUGGUAGCCUGGCUCCGGUUGGGUGAAUGUGCUUGGCAGAACUCAUUCGCGUACUGAUUCCUUCGUGUCUGGUUGCAGCGCUGCUUGCUCUUGUGUUGGCGCUUGGGUGUGGGAGCUCGCUCCCUACACCCUGCCCAUCUAAGGUGCACGGCGCUUCCCUGACACAUAGACGAUGACUAAAUGGUUUUAUUCGACCCGUCUUGAAACACGG